rnacentral:tRNA from 8 species
GGGUCUGUAGCUCAGUUGGUUAGAGCACCGUCUUGAUAAGGCGGGGGUCGUUGGUUCGAAUCCAACCAGACCCACCAU